AUGGUGUUGAUAAGUACUAUGCAGAGGUUUACCAACAGACCUUCCCUGCACUGGAAACCUAACAGAAACAAUUACCAUUCAUUAAUAUAUGUCCAUCAGUUCGGAAAGAAAAUAAGUUCAGAAGCAAAAAAAUACAAAAGACCAGCUAACACACUUCACAAAAACAGCUCAUUCAAAAAUCAGAAGGUAAAUAGAAACCUUUGA